UUUGUCAGCCAGCUCUGGGAGAUGCUGCUGGUAAAAAGAGGGGGGAAACCUUCUCUCAUUUUUUUGGCAAUAUAUGCUAUGAUAGCACAUGCCUGGCAUGUUGAGAACAAUGGCCCUUUGUUCUGCCCUAUUCUAGAACAAUAGAUCUGAAGAAAGAAAAACGUGCAGUCUAGAUCAAGAGCUUCUCAUCAGCCCUCCCUCACUCCUACCCACACUGAAAAAGAUAUAAGUAGCCAUAUUGGGGGUAAUGGAAAAGAAGAAGUGAAAGGACAAGGAAAACGCAGGGAACAGAGGUGGGCGGGGGGAUGUAAUCCAAGCUACUUUGUGCUUCAUAGAAGAUUGGGGAAAUUGUAGCGGGGAUGUGAGCAACCCUCAGAAAUAAACCACAACAAAAUAAUGUUCGUGCAUUCUUUGACAUUGAUUGUUCAUGAAGAGAAUUUCCAGCUCAACAAUCAGGACUGCUGCUUGAAAGAUUUCUUUUCCUCCCUGUCAUGCAGAUGAAUAUAUUUUCCAAGUGAAGACAUAAGCAAAAGUAGUUUCAGAAGUCUGGUGGAAUUGCGAAGGAAAUUCUACACAACAAAUGUCAAAGGAGAAGAAACAUGCUCACCAGAGUUGUUCGUUUCCACCAUAGAGGAGAUCCAGUGCAAAGUACAAAUGAAAAAGGGAUUCCCUCCAGAUGAGAACAGAACCAUGAGCAAUGGGUGGAAUUCACACAGAAGAAAAUUUAGGUUUGAUGCCAGGAAAAGUUUUCUAACAGCUGGAUCUGAGAAAAGUGGAAUGAGUUGCUUUGAGAAGAAGGCAGGUUUCCUGUCACUGGAGGUCUUCCAACAAAGGCUGGACCUUCCCCAAUAUGUUAGAAUGGGAAUUUUUUUCUGGUACAGGAUAAACUGGGUUGCUACUGGCAUUUCUUCCAACACUAACAUGUCACAAUUUUGUGGGUCUCCUCAACCCUGAGGACAGAACUAACAGUAGAGGGUAGGAGCUGUAAAGAAACAUAUUUUGGUUUCGAGAAAGAGAAAUAACUGAUUAUUACAGCUGUCCAAAAGUAAUGUGGGAUGCCUUGGAGAGUCUAGAUUUACCUCUCAUUGCAUGUAAGGGUAGAAUACUGAAUGUAUUUUCCAAAAACAAGGUAU
rnacentral:lncRNA from 1 species